rnacentral:rRNA from 1 species
AUUGAACGCUGGCGGCAGGCCUAACACAUGCAAGUCGAGCGGGGUUUUCGGACCUAGCGGCGGACGGGUGAGUAAUGCGUAGGAAGCUACCCGAUAGAGGGGGAUACCAGUUGGAAACGACUGUUAAUACCGCAUAAUGUCUACGGACCAAAGUGUGGGACCUUCGGGCCACAUGCUAUCGGAUGCGCCUACGUGGGAUUAGCUAGUUGGUGGGGUAAUGGCUCACCAAGGCGACGAUCCCUAGCUGGUUUGAGAGGAUGAUCAGCCACACUGGAACUGAGACACGGUCCAGACUCCUACGGGAGGCAGCAGUGGGGGAUAUUGGACAAUGGGCGCAAGCCUGAUCCAGCCAUGCCGCGUGUGUGAAGAAGGCCUUCGGGUUGUAAAGCACUUUCAGUAGGGAGGAAGGAUGUUGUGUUAAUAGCACAGCAUUUUGACGUUACCUACAGAAGACGCACCGGCUAACUCUGUGCCAGCCGCCGCGGUAAGAC